rnacentral:ncRNA from 1 species
AUGUUGUAUGAAAGGAGAGAAGGUUAGAACUCCCCUAGACAAGGAUGGAAGAGGCCCUUGGGCCUGAAAACCUACUUUGUGGCAUCUAACCACUGACUGUUUU